rnacentral:rRNA from 1 species
AUUGAACGCUGGCGGCAGGCCUAACACAUGCAAGUCGAGCGGAUGACGGGAGCUCGCUCCUUGAUUCAGCGGCGGACGGGUGAGUAAUGCCUAGGAAUCUGCCUGGUAGUGGGGGACAACGUUUCGAACGGAACGCUAAUAACGCAUACGUCCUACGGGAGAAAGCAGGGGACCUCCGGGUCUUGCGCAAUCAGACGAGCCUAGGUCGGAUUAGUUUGUUGGUGAGGUAAUGGCUCACCAAUGCGACGAUCCGUAACUGGUCUGAGAGGUUGAUCAGUCACACUGGAACUGAGACACGGUCCAGACUCCUACGGGAGGCAGCAGUGGGGAAUAUUGGACAAUGGGCGAAAGCCUGAUCCAGCCAUGCCGCGUGUGUGAAGAAGGUCUUCGGAUUGUAAAGCACUUUAAGUUGGGAGGAAGGGUUGUAGAUUAAUACUCUGCAAUUUUGACGUUACCGACAGAAUAAGCACCGGCUAACUCUGUGCCAGCCGCCGCAGUAA